AAAGGUGGAAAGCGGUUUAUUGGGAAACACUCAAGGAACUGUCACAGUGUGGAUUUUCGUUUCUCGCACAGAAUGUCAAAUCUAAACUGCAAGAAGUUUCAGUGAACGCACGGCGCAGUGGAUUUCUUUUGAUACGGAUAUCUAGCCGCAAAUAAGUGACAAGAUAAUGGGGAAUUAUGAUAGACAAAGAAAUACGCCGUGUGCAAGCUGCAUGCGCGCCCUGAAGUGGAUUCCUGUGCUGUUUAUCGUUUCCAUCAUUGUGUGGUCUUAUUACGCCUAUGUCGUUCAGCUGUGCAUCUUGUCGAUGGAUAAUAUAGCGUUGAAAGUGAUCUUCCUAAUACUGUACCAUGCGGUUUGCUUUCUCUUUUUCUGGUCGUACUGGCAGACCGUCUUCACCCCCAUUGGAACUGUUCCUACUAAGUGGCGAAUUCCAGAAAGUGAAAUCGAGAAACUGGGCCAAGCUGAGACACAAGAGCAACAGAAGCGAAUACUCGAGUUAUUCGCAAAAAACUUUCCAGUGAGCAAUAGAACAAUUAAUGGAGCGGUUCGUUUCUGUGAAAAAUGCCAAAUAAUAAAACCAGAUCGAGCUCAUCAUUGUAGUGUAUGUGGGACAUGUGUUCUGAAAAUGGAUCACCACUGUCCCUGGGUGAAUAACUGCGUUAACUUCUCGAACUAUAAAUAUUUUGUUUUAUUUCUGGGAUACGCUUUGAUUUAUUGCUUAUACGUAGCAGCGACAUCCUUACAAUAUUUCAUUAAAUUCUGGGAGGGUGAACUGAACGGAGGCAUGGGAAGGUUUCACAUUCUCUUUCUCUUUUUUGUGGCUGUGAUGUUUGCUAUUAGCUUAGUCAGUUUAUUUGGUUAUCACAUUUACCUAGUUUUACUUAACAGAACUACAUUAGAGGCCUUUAGAGCACCAAUUUUUCGCAUUGGUGGGCAGGACAAAAACGGAUACAAUUUAGGGCGGUAUAAUAAUUUCCAAGAAGUGUUCGGUGACAAUUGGAAGUUAUGGUUUUUGCCCGUCUAUACAAGUUUGGGUGAUGGAAUAAUCUAUCGAAUGAAUUCUCAGCAUCAGAGUACGUCGUAUGAGUCUAUGGGCGAUACUCCCAACACGCCGCCCUCAAGCUCUAGCAUAAGCAAUAAAAAUAGAUUGUUUUGGAACGAGAAUUAAAUAAAGUCAAAAAGCUGCAAUUACAGAAGCGAAAACAAUUACUGAACAACAAAAUGUUUCUAACGAAACAAUAAUAAAUGUGAAAAAAAUAUUCGCAAGAACAACGUGAAGCACUCAUUAUUCUUGGUGAAAACCUCCAUAUGUAAUUCUAUAUAUAUUUUAUCACCCAAAAAAGAAGUGAUCUAAUAAAUUCAAAAAGGUGAAAAACAAAUUGAUUUAAAUGACGACGUACGUACUUAGGAUCCUGUAUUUCGCUUUUAUUCUUCAAUUUUUUCUACAAUAAGCUCGGCAUGUAAAGUAACUAUUAUAACGAAUAUGAUUUGUA
rnacentral:misc_RNA from 1 species